rnacentral:lncRNA from 1 species
AACUGCUACAUGUCUAAAGAAGUUCACAGAACAUAAGACAGCUACAGACCCAUUAAACCUGUCCUCCAAGCUUCUUUCCAAGAACCGUCUGCGCAUACCUUUCUCUAUGACAAUUUCACCAAAGCCAAUUUAGAAUUACAAGUGGCAACUUCGGGAAACUUGCUCAUUUAAGGAGUACAUUAAAAACCAAAAGAGGAAUGAACCAGAUGACAAGGACUCUUAAAAUCUACAGGAGCUCCGGUUCUGAUUGGUUUGUAUGAUAUGUUCACAUAAAUCUCAAGAAAUAAUUCAAGAAACUCCAAAGGGAAGGGGAGAGCCUUCUAAUCCUUUACAUUUUUGGCUCUUCUAAGGAAAAUAUUUCUGCUUCAAACGUAGCAGGAAAACAUUUUAACUGCUAUUAGUUAAGCAAAUAAUUACAAGAAUAAAAUCAAGGCAUUCAGAACUUUUAAAUG